GGUCGCACCAGAUCAAAUAUCUCGCAAACUGACGGUUCAAUGUAACAGUAUGAAUGGAAAACUCUGGACUAUACUGGCCACCGUUGUACCCGAAGCACCCAGACAUGGAAAAAAAUCCCCUUUCUCUUACUGCUCUUUGGAUCGAGGUCUGGCCGAGGCAGGGAUGGCGCAAAGCUUCUGGCCGCGGAUCUAGCGCUGCUCACCUUCCCAUGAUGCGGCAUCUCAUCUCUGCUGAACUGGAGAGGCAGAUGUCAGGUCAGAGAGCUGGGUCGUCGCGUUUGACGACCAUCUCCUCCACAGUUUUCCUCGUCGAUCUCGUAUUCUCCAAUCACCCGGGUCUGGCUUUAGCAUGUCUGUUAAUUUUCGCCAUUUUACUUUCAUUUUUAAAUUGCCAAUAAUAUAUUUUUCUUUUUCAUACGGGAUGUGAUAUAUUUCAAUUAUUGGAUCUGCGACACAGGAUAGAGGUCAGCAUGCCUGGUAUGGUCGAUGCGCCACAUCUAUGCAUCGUUCCUACUUCCUCCAUAAUGCCCAAUUCUUCACAGGUGAGAAGGAAACUUGGAUGGUUGGGUGUGACUUAUGUAGAAAGGAGUUGCAUGCCACUUCAUAAUUUGGGCCGCCUUUGAUAUUGCCUGAGCACCAAGUCUGAAGAUCUCGCAUCAUAGAGAGUUCGCUUCAAUUGUCCUGGUGGUGGGAUCGUCGAGUCUCGGCGUCGUACAGUUGGUUGGCUUCAAUUUUCCUAGUCAUGGUGCUGAGUCGUGAGUUGCUGGGUGUCUUAGAUUUCCAGGCGGAUGGUGGGCGUGUGCUGGGUGCUGGGUGCGGCCAGCUGUGUAUUUUGAUGUAUGAGUUCUGGCUGUGCCCUUAUGGAGUCCUUGUAUGCUUAUUAUUUUUCUUCCAAUUAAAGCCUAUAUGUGACAAUAGGUUGAUGGAUGCGGCCAAUUUUGUAUUUUUAUGGGGACUCUGUCCGUAAGCACUCUUUGUAUGUGUUUACGUGUCCUUGGCUUACCGAGUGUCCGAGUUAUGUAUGUGUCCUUUAGAGUCCCGAUUAGGAAUUGCACGUGACAAUAGUUGGACAUGUAACGCCUUUAUAUAAUAUAUUAGUGGAAGAG
rnacentral:rRNA from 1 species